GACGAACGCUGGCGGCGUGCUUAACACAUGCAAGUCGAACGGAAAGGCCCUGCUUUUGUGGGGUGCUCGAGUGGCGAACGGGUGAGUAACACGUGAGUAACCUGCCCUUGACUUUGGGAUAACUUCAGGAAACUGGGGCUAAUACCGGAUAGGAGCUCCUGCUGCAUGGUGGGGGUUGGAAAGUUUCGGCGGUUGGGGAUGGACUCGCGGCUUAUCAGCUUGUUGGUGGGGUAGUGGCUUACCAAGGCUUUGACGGGUAGCCGGCCUGAGAGGGUGACCGGCCACAUUGGGACUGAGAUACGGCCCAGACUCCUACGGGAGGCAGCAGUGGGGAAUAUUGCACAAUGGGCGGAAGCCUGAUGCAGCAACGCCGCGUGCGGGAUGACGGCCUUCGGGUUGUAAACCGCUUUCGCCUGUGACGAAGCGUGAGUGACGGUAAUGGGUAAAGAAGCACCGGCUAACUACGUGCCAGCAGCCGCGGUGAUACGUAGGGUGCGAGCGUUGUCCGGAUUUAUUGGGCGUAAAGGGCUCGUAGGUGGUUGAUCGCGUCGGAAGUGUAAUCUUGGGGCUUAACCCUGAGCGUGCUUUCGAUACGGGUUGACUUGAGGAAGGUAGGGGAGAAUGGAAUUCCUGGUGGAGCGGUGGAAUGCGCAGAUAUCAGGAGGAACACCAGUGGCGAAGGCGGUUCUCUGGGCCUUUCCUGACGCUGAGGAGCGAAAGCGUGGGGAGCGAACAGGCUUAGAUACCCUGGUAGUCCACGCUGUAAACGGUGGGUACUAGGUGUGGGGUCCGUUCCACGGGUUCCGUGCCGUAGCUAACGCUUUAAGUACCCCGCCUGGGGAGUACGGCCGCAAGGCUAAAACUCAAAGGAAUUGACGGGGCCCCGCACAAGCGGCGGAGCAUGCGGAUUAAUUCGAUGCAACGCGUAGAACCUUACCUGGGUUUGACAUGGAUCGGGAGUGCUCAGAGAUGGGUGUGCCUCUUUUGGGGUCGGUUCACAGGUGGUGCAUGGCUGUCGUCAGCUCGUGUCGUGAGAUGUUGGGUUAAGUCCCGCAACGAGCGCAACCCUUGUUCACUGUUGCCAGCACGUUAUGGUGGGGACUCAGUGGAGACCGCCGGGGUCAACUCGGAGGAAGGUGGGGAUGACGUCAAGUCAUCAUGCCCCUUAUGUCCAGGGCUUCACGCAUGCUACAAUGGCUGGUACAGAGAGUGGCGAGCCUGUGAGGGUGAGCGAAUCUCGGAAAGCCGGUCUCAGUUCGGAUUGGGGUCUGCAACUCGACCUCAUGAAGUCGGAGUCGCUAGUAAUCGCAGAUCAGCAACGCUGCGGUGAAUACGUUCCCGGGGCU
rnacentral:rRNA from 1 species